UGCCUCCGCGCGCCGCCGCCCAGACACCCCGACGCAGGGGGCGGCGAGGGAAGGGCGCUCGGAGGCCUCAAGGGGCGGCGGACGGAGCGGUUCGGGGCGGGCCGGGCCGGGGCGGGCGGGUUGGGGGCAGGGGUCCGACACCCCGAGGCCUGGCGGCUGCGCUGCUCCUGUGCUGCGAGGCUCGGCCUCAGGGCCUGGGCGCCAGCACCCUAGCCGGGCCGGAGCCCCAAUCAUUAUAGGGUCCGUCUCGGAAAUUGCGGGCCGAGGGGAAUUCAAAUUCAGAGUCCGAUGGAAUCCACCACUUGGGAUCCUCACCCUCGACCUCUUCCAUUCUCACGGGGAGGCUUUGCCUGGACCGAGCUUUUCUAGCCUCAGGUCCUCCGCGUCGCCUCUGCCCAACGAGUUAGCAAACUCCGGGGUAAGAAUAGUGAUGCCCGUGGGCUUCUACGCGGGAAGACGAUUUACACCACCUUGCUGUGCCCUAAGAACAAAAAGAAGUCUGGGGCAAAAUCCGCGUUCCCAUUUGUUACUAUCGCUGACCACUUCCUAAACUUCUAUGUGAGCACCGGGGCAAGAACUGGAUAAUUACCUUAAGAUUCCACUGCUUUCAGAUCCAGAAUGACAUUUUAGGUUGAUUUUUUUCCUUUGGUGUUGAAAAAAAAACACAAAAAAACAAAAAACAGCUGGGAAAAUACAACUGACCCUUGAAGAACAUCAGUUCGAACUGCACCAGCUCAUGUAUACAGGGGUUUUCUAAAAUGUGGAUCCGGUACAGCACCGAAAAUGUAUUUUUUCUUCCUUGUGAUUUUCUUAACAUUCUCUCUUCUCCAGUGGACUUUACUACAAGAAUACAGGAUACAAUGCUACCUACGCAAAAUAUGUGUUAAUCAGUGGUUUGUGGUUAGGCUAGGCCUCUGGUCCCCCGCAGGCUCUCAGUAGCUGCGUUUUAGGAGGUCGGAAGGUACGUGCGGAUUUCCGUGGCGGGAGGUUCUUCUAGGGUCAGCUGAUCGUUAUUUUCGGUGCAUUGAAAAGCUUGAAAAGAAGAGUGUGUCCCCAAAGACAUAACACACAUCAGGUGACGGCAGCAGUGUGAUUAUGGGAAUUUCUGAAGGGCCGAAUGCAAUCCCUGUCGCUGCAGGGAGGAGGUGGCCCUGAGAAAGGCCCGUGUGCUUGCUGUGUUACUCACUAGGUACCCCUGAGAAGCAUCUUAUCCUGUGAUCUUAGGACACCCUCCCCCCGCCACCCCGCCCCGAGAACCAAAGCCCACCUGGACUUUCUGCUGAAAUUCCCUUCAUGUUGUUCCAGGGUGAUUAUCUCGUUGAAAACCCGGCUGGGACGGUUCCACUUUCUGGAUUGCACUUCUUGGAGAAAGGGGAUGGAAGCAAGGGCCAUAGAAGUCCCCGUGGGGCAGGGAGUAGGGUUUUACUGAAAAGGGGAUGGAGAACAUUGGCAGCAAGGAUGAAGAAGGCAGAAGGACAAGACAGAAAUAGUGGGUGCUCUUAAAUGACCCUUCUGAGGGGCUGAACUUGCCUCCCCCCGCCACUAGGGAAACAGGCAUAUCUGAGGUAUAAUAUUUAAAGCUCUUAUCCUUGGCGGUAAUUAAUUUUCUUUAAUUAUUCCUCAUUCUUUAGAGGAAACUGUUCCACCCAUGCAGCCUUGACUGCAGGUGCUUGGGGGGAGUUGGACCACAUAGUUAAAGAGAACACAGUGUGGGAUUUCCAACCAGGGGAACAGUGAGUCGGGCCUGUACCCUGGUGGGGCAAGCAGGGAGCUCUGGCCGCACACGGCCUGGGGGACGGGGAGCCGUGCAGAGGAUGCGGCGUGGAGGCGCAGGUGCCAAGCUCAGGAUUGGGGGCGGCGGCUAUGGAAUGACCUUUCUCCCUGGCAAAUCUCCCCAAGAGUAACGGGGAGGGGUCGCCACCCAGGUCACACUCUGUACACACAGCACAGCCCUUCUCACCACCCGGAAACCACCCCUGAUCCAAGGAGCCCCCGUUCCCACCUUGGCCUCCCCCUUCUCAUCCUGGCGCUGCCUUUCAUUGGGAACAAACUUCCAAUGUCGAAGAAUCGUCGGCUGUGUCAUCAUCUAACCAGAGAAGACAAGUCACCCUGAGGCCCCUUUAACAGGUUAGCUGCUAAGUCAGCAGCCUGACGGCAGGAGCGCCCGGCGUGCACCUGAGCACCUCCUAACUGAAGGUGGCCCAGCAGAGCCCCGGUUCCUGCACACGUGGCCUCAUGUACCUGGACCCAAAUCUGAGAAUCUGGAAGGGACAUUUCCUUCAUCUUUCUGUAUUUCUGUGUUGUGUCGACAGCCACAGGUGUUCCCCGGGUUUCUGAAAGGUAGAGAAGACACACGAAACACACCUCUCGGCUGGUAAGUUUCCUGCUGAAGGCCCCACAGCAACGUGUAAUGUCAAACGGUCUCGUUCCGAAGUAUUCUGUGCUUGCUGAUGCACAGUUUGCAAACAAUAAGUUCUUUGUCCAAACUCUAGUGUAGUCAGAAGGUCAAUCAAAUCACAGAGCUUUCAUAUACACGUGUUUGUAACGUUGCACACGCAUUAAUGCACCACGACACCAGUGAUUAUCGUUUCUCGGACUCUUGGAAUUCUAAGGGAUUUUUAUAUUGAAGUUAUCAUCCUACUUUAUUACUUCUUUCAUUUAUAUUUAUAUUAUUUAUUCUCAUUGUAUUAUAUAUUUUAUAUUUACAUUAGAUAUUAAAUUAUAUUUUCUGGGGCAGCCCUGGUGGCCCAGCGGUUUAGCGCCACCUUCAGCCCGGAGUGUGAUCCUGGAGACCCAGGAUCGAGUCCCAUGUCGGGCUCCCUGCAUGGAGCCUGCUUCUCCCUCUGCCUGUGUCUCUCUCUCUCUCUCUCUGUGUCUCUCACGAAUAAAUAAAUAAAAUCUUUUUUAAAAAUUAUAUUU
rnacentral:lncRNA from 12 species